GCCCUUGUAGUUCAAUGGAUAGAACGCGGGCCUCCGGAGCUUGAGAUAGAGGUUCGACUCCUCUCAAGGGCAC
rnacentral:tRNA from 1 species